rnacentral:rRNA from 1 species
UACGUAGGGCGCAAGCGUUGUCCGGAAUUAUUGGGCGUAAAGAGCUCGUAGGCGGUCUGUCGCGUCCGUUGUGAAAACUCGAGGCUCAACCUCGGGCUUGCAGUGGAUACGGGCAGACUAGAGUGCGGUAGGGGAGACUGGAAUUCCCGGUGUAGAGGUGAAAUGCGCAGAUAUCGGGAGGAACACCGGUGGCGAAGGCGGUUCUCUGGGCCUUACCUGACGCUGAGGAGCGAAAGCGUGGGGAGCGAACAGG